CUGCUGUGCCCCAGAAGCAGCCAGCAGCAAAUUCCCAGCCAAUGGGAGUGCAGAGCUAAUGCUCUGGGCAUAGGUAUUGCACAGAAACUUGUGCACUCUCCCCAUCUCACACCCACACACCUAGGGACCGGGCAGCACCCCCACUGGUCACCUGAUCCCUCUGCAGCAGUGAGACCCAGUACCUGACAUUCCUCAACGCUUUCCAUUGGAUCUUCAGUAGCAAAAAUAGUACCAUUCUUUUGUCUGUUAAGAACAGUGGAGAUGAUAUGCAGAAGGGCUGAUAAGAAGUGUAUGGGGGAGAGGGGAGAGAGAGAGAGAGACCGACUGACGAAACAGUGUCUUGCAUUCUCUCCAGCAUGGAACUCUUUAAUGCUGCCAAAACCAACUCUCCUCUGGCUGGUGUGUGUGCGGGGAUGUGAGGUUUCCUUUAGGAAUUUUUAAAUAACAAGAUGACUGUAAAUGUUUCCAUGCAUGCCUUGUUCUGGCCUUAUCUUAAGGCUCUGUUGAGCUCUGCCCACCCACAGAGUGAAUAGCUGAGAUGAGUUGAUGUUUUUACUGCCUUUUGGCAAGUAAAGCUGACACCUAAUUUCAAAGCACAGUGGAUCUUCUCCAUGAUCCUCAGUUCUUUGGCUUCUCUGCUCCUUCACUUUCCGCUGUUCUUGUGGACUAUUUCCCAUGCGUCUUAAAUUCUUACUUCCCCAGUCCGAGAAGUGGGAUGAGAUGCAAGGAUGGGACCUGUGUUUAUGCCCCAUCAAAUACUAAGAUGAAGUGCUCCUCUGUAGCAACAUGUGAUAUAAACUACUGGGUAUUGAGUCAGGCUCAGCUGUGAGAAUAGGAUCAGGUGCUACCCAGAUCUGUCUCUCACAACAGAGCUAAUCUCUCAGUGCUGGGAAACAUCAGAACCUUUGCUUGGCAGCUGAAGGUUAUGUGGUAGUAUUUGUGUGACUGGUCCCCAUUGUUUUUCCUCUUAGAUCUUGAUUUGACGUGAGAUCUCAUCCUGCAGCAAAUCUUCUGGUGGCCUGCUUCGGUCCUUCGUGAGAUGUUCCAACCCAGACUCUUCUGAAAGGGAGAGGAUUUACCUUGGUAUAAAAAGAAAAACCACAACAGAGUUGGCCGUGAUGUCAGUUGCACUUGUUCAAGAUCUGAUUUACUGGCUACCGACCUCAAAAGAGUUAACCGAGUAGGUGUGACUAAGCAGCAGAGAAAAAGAUGCAAGCAUGAGAGUUUUGGAACCAAAGCAAAGAAACUGAGUCCUGACUGAUCUCAUGGACAUCCUGUAUGAGGUACCCAAGGAAGCCACAGACUUUGGAAAGAACAGCAUCAGCUAUCAGGGAUUCCUCUUUCGUGAAAGGAAACUUGAUACCUAAAGGACACGCUCCAGUUUGCACUGCGGAAAGUGCACGUCCUCACCAACCCAUCCGGUCAGCCGGUCGUCUGGAAGACAUCCAAGCGAAGGUCAUAACUGCUGGGAACAAAGAGUGCUCACAAGGCAGAACAGACGUCCUGGUGUCUAUUUGCUCCAAGACAUUUUUCUUAGGUAAGCAAACUACAGAAAGUCAAGUCAUCUCCCUCACCUGUUUUUGUUUGUAAAUCUGGUGUCUGAGUCAAAACAAUUGCUGGAAAGCAAAAGCAAAAUGUUGUGGUGGUGACAUUUGCCUAUGGCUGUACUGACUCCCUUAGAGAUCCCCUUGAAUACAGAAUAUGGUUAUUUCCUUAAAGUUCUGGGGGAUUGGCUGAGAGAUGUAUGGAGUUCUGGGUGUGAGGCUGACGUAUCUUUCUGAGCACAGUGUAACUAGAAAAAGCCACAUGAUAGCAUUCUGAAAAAGGCCUGCUUUAUUAUGGCUGAGAUUAUUAAACCAUAGCACAUCCAUGUGGUUCUGUUACCAGAGCCUCUUAUCAAAGGCAAACAUUAGUUAAGCUUUUGCUAAAGAGUGCUUUGCUCCAUAGAGAUUAUCAGUUUGCAGAGCUGGAUUUAGAUUAGCAGUAAUGAGAGGACUGUAAAAAUUUCAUUUCUCCAGCAAGGAAUCCUAAAGCAUUUUGCCACUGAAGUGAUGGAAGGCAGCAGACAGCUGGCCAAAAUUCCCUAUCUGAACUGUGGGCAAAAGGUCCACGGGUAAACCAUCCUGCUCUUACUACGUUUUACGGGAUCAUUGGUUUCCAGAGAGAGUGUGCGCACACUGCUUCUUAACUGCCCCGGGCGACCUGGUAUGCCAGUGAGCCAAGUGGAACCCACAACUGGACAGCAUGACAGACUGAGCCUGUUUUGAUGCCGCUGGUGUAGCAUUUCCAGGUUGGAUACAUAGUCCAAGCCCAGUUAUCGCUCGUCUCCAGUUUCCUUUCAGACGAGCUCUGGUCUGGAACAUUUAAGAACAGACACACAGCUGGGAGGCAGGAGAAUGAACCAGGUGAGAUGGUGUCUUCUCUCCUUGCCCAAGCUGGCACGUUUGCUCCCACUCCAUCCUGCCAUGGAUGGGGAUGGUUCCUGGCUUUGAUUCAGAUUGAGGGUGGCCCAGUGUGUGACCAUUCUGAAGAGAGCAGAAGGCAGCUACUUCUGCUGCUAGUUAGAGUUCUUAAUGGGCUCACAUUACAUCCACUGUAGCUAAUUCUGAGUUUCAACUCUCAUGUUACAUCUGUACAGUAGGUGGUGACCCAGGAAAAGCCUGCAGCACAUGAGAUAGUGUAUGUUACUGAAGGGUCUGGAGCAGUCUCCAGGGCUUGUAAUGCAGGAAGAGAAGAGAAGAGCAGAGCAGAGCAGAGGAUGUUAAUGAUUGUGGGGAGGUUGUGCUGUCUCACUGAUUUGCCUGCUGUUGGCCUCAUCUAUGUGUACAUGUUUCCAGCCUGAUUUCUUGAGUUAUCUGUAUGGCUGGCACCGCCCAGGUUGUUCCAGGUGCUCCAAGAGCAGCAGCUCUGUUCAUUUUGAAGUGGCUGCAGUCUAAGGCCUUGAAAGCAGGGGAAACACCUCUGAGAUUAUAUCAGCAUGGUGUACCUUACAGCAGCAUAGCUGUGUCACUAUGAAAUGUAGCCGUUCUUUGGGCAGGAGACCUCUCUCCUCCCGACAAAAUAAAACUACCCUUCAACACGUGGUGGUAGGUGUGGUGGUGGAAGAGCAUCACCUGUCAUCAACGCUCUGUCUACUCUCGUGCUUCCGGUUGGUAAAGCUUCUGUCAGUCGGGUGUGGGUUUUUUUUCCUCUCCCCUAACUUACAAAAGUUUUAGCAUUUUAAGUGAUAGUGUAGACAUAGCCAGAUUCUCUGCCUUAUGAAGUCUGUGUGUAACUGACACGGCUUUAACAGAAGUGUGCUGAUUUCUAGUUUCAUUGAGAGGACAUCACCGAUGUUGGGUAUCUAGAAUAGGCCCUCAGCACUGAUGGCGCGGAAGCUGUAUUGAUUUACACCUGAUUUACACCUGCUGAAGAUUUGGAACGUAUGUGUGCAUGCACGCCUCUCUCUGCCUGCCUCAUCUAGUAGGAGAGCACGUCUGUCUGGGGGCUGAGGGGCUGGCACUGAAGCAGUGGGGUGAUUCCCCUGCACCACUGACAAUGGAAUUUGGCUUUUACCAUGCUUGAGUCUCAGGCUGACCAAACAAAAUGGCUGCCUGUUCAUCUGAAUGCUUUUUGAAGAAUACAUCCCAUCCUUGGUACUGCGUGAAUCACACCCGCUUCCUAUUAAUGAACAUGAUCAUUUUUCAGAAAACAAAACUGGAAUUCUCUUUCUUUUCUAUUCCAUGCCACUCUGCGCUGUUUUCUGUGCUGAUCUUCAGAUGGAUUUUGGCAAUUUAGCCCUUUCAGCAAAGCAAAUUAAAUGCAGUGCAUGCUGAAACACUAUGAACUAGCAGUAGUCUUUACAUAUUCCUUCUUGCACUCAUGAGUGCUGCUGUACAAUUUAUUCCUUCCACUUAUAAUAGCUGCUAAGGGGAGGGGACAGAGGAGUGAGUGACCUACUCUGUCAGGGAGUAAGAGGAAAACACCCAGUGACAGGAAGGGGAAGAACAAGCAGCAUAAGGGUACGAAUCUCGGGGAGGGGGGGUUAGCUCACCGUCACCCUCCCUAAAUGACACAUUUACCCCUCCACACACCCCUCUGCCCUAAGCCCCUACUCACAACCCCAACCCUUACUCCUGCACCGCCAUACUUCCUUACCCCCCUGCCCUGACUUCUGCAACUGCACAUUCUCAGCCCCUGGCUGAUUGGCUGUCCCAGGGUGAGUUCACAUAAGACACAACCCACAAAAUGGUGAGUUAACCACUGGGGCAGGGGAAUUCAUUGGUGCAGGGCCUUACCUUACUCUGGGCAAGUGUGUCUUCGGGAGAGCCAGUGCUGCAGGGGGGGCCUGCAGUCAGUAAUGUCCAUUCAUUUUCCACAGUGUGUACUCAUCCCACGAGAUAUUUUGUUGCUGAGUGUGAGAAGAGAAGCAAGAGAGGAUCUUCUGCAAGCCUGCGGCUUCUAUCCUGGCCCUUAUGUGGCUUGUCUACAUGCAGCAAUAGCCCCCUUUGCAGCAUGGUGAUGUGGGAAAGUUACAAUGGGAAAAUGAACAUAGUAGCCCUACCAAGGAACCUGUGGAGGCAGAUUGCCAUCAACACCCUGGCUUGGUACUAACACCACACGGACCUACACCUGCUUUCUGUAGCCCUCCUACCCCCAACAACAUGCCUCAGUGCUUCCAGAAAUCAAAGCCACUUACCAAGCUCAUCCUCUGCUGUUUGUGCUUCGCUGUGACUGACUUCAUUCCUCCAGUGUAGAAAAUAACUCUGUGGACACUCUCCUCUGGCUCUGGGUAACCCUCUCCCUUGGCAACCUGGUCCUUGAUUUCCUCCUUGCUCAUUCCACUGUGGUAUGGCCCCUGAGGCCCUUAAGUAGCCACAGGUCUUUGGAGUGGAGGUGGAGUCCUCCCCAAGUGUGUCAUGCAGCUUUUUGUAGAACUGGUAGCUCAUGGCUGCAGUACUGAAGCAGUGUUUUGCUCCUGUGCCUUGGGGUUGAUGUUUCUCAGCUCCUUCAUUUUGACCCUGCACUACAAAACUUCUACAAAAAGCCUUCUGUCGAGGCUUGCCUGGUGUGAGUCCUCUAACCACCUACUAAGGGAAAAGGCUUUGAACUGGGAGAGGCCCUGGCUUUCCUCUUUAAUUAACUGUUGAUUAAAUCAAAUGCAAGGAGCCCUUUAUGGCAGGGGAGGCAAUAGUAAACACCUGGGUGAUUGACAACCCUACCUCAAUGUCUUCUCUAGACUGCAUUAGAAGAGUAGUCUUUCCUUUUGAAGAUGUUCCACUUCAAUUCACUAUUGAUAGUCAAAGCAAGCGUUAAGGUCCAGUAAUCCGCUGUAGCCUAAUGGCUAAGGUAAAGCUUUGGGAGUGUUGGAGAGCUGGGUUCAAUUCUUGCUUAGACCAGCUAGUGCUCUCAUUCUUUCCUAUUGGCAUGUAAGUCCCCUUUAGAGUAUUAAUUAGGCUCAAACAAGCACAUUCAGUGUGAGUCCUGCCAUAGUGUGGUGGGUUGUUUAGUGGUUGGCAAUGCCAUGGUUGUGAGUUCUAUUCCCCCUCUGCCUGGUGAGCUGAAGGGUUUUGGAAAAUUAUUUGCUGCUGCUUCGGCCAUUUUAAUAAAACUCUGAUCUCUCUUUCGCCCCCUGUGGUCCUGGCCUGCCCAGGAGGUGGGAGAUCCCAGUUCCAGUCCCGCCUCUGCGAAGGGACUGGAGCGGGUAUCUCCUGCCUCCCAGGGACCACCCACCCCACCCCCACCUAACCCCACCCCCCAGAGAGGUGAGAGCUUUCAGUCUAAGUCCCGUCUUUUAUUCUUAAGACAAUGGCUCCACCCGGAGCAGGGACCUAAAUAGGAAUCUGCCACCUCCCCGGUCACCUGGGAGAGAGGAUUUCCCCAGUCAAACCCCUUCUAAAGGGGCAGAGGUAGGAUUCGAACUAGGAAAUCCAAGGAUCUCCCACCUUCUAGGCAAGCACGCAACCACCGGGCUACAGAGUGAUCUUAAAGCUAGGGCUGCCUCAGGCCAUACUUAAGUAAAGGGGAGCAGCGCCAACAGGAAAGAUUGACAGAGCUUCCUGUUCACAAAGAGAGCACCUUCCUCAGGGAGGCGAGGGCUCGAACCAUGCACCUGAGCCUCAAAGGCAACUGCUGUGACCACUACGCUACUGGGUGCUCCUUGUACUAGGGGCUCUUUUUGGCCCAAUAAACAGAUAAUUCACGUGGACCAGCUUUAAUAGGGAAGUCUCCAAGCUCCCAGAGUCUAGCUCACACAGUCUAGGAAGGACUAGAACCCAGCACGCCACAGCAGAAGCACUUUCACUAGCCCCUGCGCUACACUGAGCCUCUUGCCUCAGUUCUGUGCUUUGGCCCAGUUAAUAGUUAAUUGAAGGGAAAGGGGUUCAAGAGGAAAAGAGCACACAUGCCUGCUGUUCAACUCUUUUUGUCAUAGCUAGCAAACAGGAGCCUUGAACCAGGCUCUCUAAUAACCCAGGUAAGCACCCUAACCACUGCCCUACAGAGGGCUGUCUACAAUAAGGCUUUACUUUAGCCCAAUUAACUGAUACUUAAAGUGGACCAUCUUUAACAGAAACACAGCAGCAUUGUCAUUGGCCAGCUCCUGGGACCCAGAUAGGAAGCAAAAUGUCUAAUCAGAUGUUGCCACUGUGCUUAGCCGCCUGUUCCUUGAGACAGGGUUGUUAGCCAGUCAUCAGGGCAGGGAAAUGAGACACAAAACCAGCGUCCCCUGUAAGCUGAGCACUUGGACAGCCGCGCAGGAGAGAUUUAAGUCUCCCCCGCUGAUUAGCAGAGUGGCCACAACUGCCCAGAGCCUGUGUUUCUCCUGGGAGUUCACAACUGCACACACGUGCUCAGCCUUUCCGGACGACUGUGCCCCUUUCAGGAGUCUGCUUGUCUUGUGUAGCCCCAAGAUUUACCUCAUUUAUAAAACCUAGUUCUUCCCAUACAGCCCCCCACACACCCCACAGGCACAGAAAGACGGCCGACUGUCUCGUGUUUACCACAGAAUUACACAGUGCAUUGGUUGGGGUACACUUGUACUUCCAAAGUAUCAGAGCCAGCCAGGGCUGGAAGAGACCUCCGGAGAUCAUCUAGGCAAUCCCCACAUUUCAGUACAAUUAAUUGUGCUACUGGAGUCUGUUUCCCACUUCUGCCUUCCCAAACCCUGCCCCCCAGGGCUGAAGCCUGUAACUUAACCUCACGGGGCUCCCCUGUGGUCUAGGGAUCUGCACCUCUGCCCUUCUUGCCAGCCUUGCAUUUCCAAACCCCCCAAACCUGUCCCAUAAUCCCAUGGGGGCUGCAGUCCCCAGACUGAGAAACACUGGAAUAGAUGACAUAGCCCCUGAAAGCCCUCUGCGUACCCCCAAGAGAGCAUGUGUCCUGGUUCAGAACCAUCCUCUCAGACAUCACCAACCCUUCGCUAUUCGUAGUCCAAGGAAAUCAGCAGAACCCUUUGGAGACAACAGGCUCAUACACGCUGUCUUCUUACUUCAGCACAGCUAGGUCAGGCCAGGAGUAGACCCCAGGAGUUUGUCCAAAUUUCCCUCUAAUUUUUUCCAUCCAUAGGGGGAAUGAAUACAGUGAGUUAUGUGCACCGAGGCAGAGCUUGGGGCAGAAGCAGUAAAGCACGUGUUUCUUAAGCAAGAAAGCGCCUCACUUGAAAUAAAGCACAAGACUGCUGAUCGUGUAAUAGAAGGGUGGAUAAUCUGUGGGAAGUAACAGCUUUCCAUGACACUAGGAUGGCUGUGGUAAUUUGCCCCAAACAUUUGAAAUGUAUGGAGACCUUUUUCUACCCGUCUUUCGACUGCAUCGCCAAUGGACCCCUCCCCCCUUCUCCUUGCUUACAAUUGGGGGAGGCCAGAGAUUAGCCAUGGUACCAGUAAUUACAAUCCCAGUGCCUCCAUGAUGAUGAAUGUUUUUCGGAUAUUGUUGAUCUGUUUCUUCCAGGAACAGGUAUCAUCCACUUUGUUGCGGCCCAUUUUCUCCAGAGCUGAAGCAGGGAAUUCUGCUAGGAAGCAAGGAAAAGUGGUCAGCUCUGCACAGUAGAAGGGUAAAACUUAAACCACUGCAAAGUACCUAUUUGCUUGGAUUCUCCUUUGGAGGUUUUUGAACAUUUCCUUUUGGGUCUGUUGAAGCCAAGAUGCAAGGAAGUCAAUUUUCCAAUCAAAAUCAUGUGACAUAUCAUGUGACAAAUCACGUGACUGCCACAUAUUAUGAUGAAAGCAUUUUACCCACAAUUCCCAGUACAAAAAUGCAAGUGCAAAGGAAAAGAAAACUGUUUUUCUGAGAAUUUAACACAAACUACUCACUCUCCUUGAAAAAUCACCCAGUGCACUCCAUUCACAGUUCCUAAGCAGAUGAGACUUCAAGUUCUAUUGGCUCUUACAUAGCAAAAUGAAUCAGAUGCCAGACAUGUAUUAUAGCUAAUAUUAGGCAGCUUGGCUAGCAAUCUAGCACUCAGAGAGUGGGACUUGUCAUUUGGGGAUAUUCAUUUAGUGACAAAUGUGCAAGAUUGUCAAUUACUACUGUUGCUAUUUUGCUGAAUAUUCAGGGGCUAUAAAGCUGUGAUUAUGUGCCUGCAUGGCUGCUAAUGCUACCCUAUUAAAGCACCCUUGAGUUAAUAGAUUAAAAUUAGAUGUGACUGAAGGCGCAGGUAAUAUUAGAGUUGCUUACUUGCUUGCAUAUUGAGCUAGGUUAAAUCACUGGUGUUGACGCAGAAGAAAUUUACUGACCAGUGUGCUGCUCUAGCUGGUAGUAUAGCCUGGAUCUCUUCUUUUGUUUUUUUCUUCCUAGGACUAUUUGGAUAGGAAAUGGAAUGUUACUUCGGAAACCCAGUAUGGCCUGAUGUGGCGUUGCAAGCUGGUGCCAUCGCUGUGGGGGGGCUAUAGAAAGCACUCUCACGUGACAGAAAAAAUUGGUGUUUGGGUCUUAAUUGUGCUCCCGAUGGAAGAGGUCAGGGUGAUCGUGCAGGAGGCUGGGUGUCUGGCGCUUACCCACAACCCCGGCACAGCAUGGGCAGCAGCUGUCAUGGAGCACAGGCUAUUCCCAGUCCACACAAGACAAUACUCAAGCUCUACUGUCUUUCUGUGCUCGUUGGUGCAUCAGCCACUGUCUUAGCCCUCAUCACCUAGAGGAAUACCAUUCUACCGGGAUGUGAACUGUGCAAGCCUAGACCAAGGCACCUCCAGCACCGACAUGGAAGUGAAGCUGAGGGGGCGUUGUUUUCUGAGCUCUGCUGUUGUGCGUGAACAGCCUUAUCUCUGGUAUUUCCUAACUUGUCGGUGUUGGCUCUGAAACCACAAUCCAUUUGAACAGAGUCCUAGCUACCGGAAGUGGUUGGCGUAGGUAUUCGGGCCCUGCCAGGACUCUCAACCAGCUAGUGACUUUGCUGAAGGCAGCCCUGCACUCCCCCAAAUAGUGACUCUAACCUCAAGUGUCGUGUGCAGGGGUCCCCUCACCAGGCUGCUACCAGGGAUUGCUCUGGUCCAGGGCACCUCAGACACGGUUUGGGGAGCAGACCUGCACGGCGGUUGGACCCACGGCCAGCGGUCACGCACUGAGCUGUCAUUGCACAUGAACACCAGGGAGCUCAAGGUGGUUCAUCGUGCUUGCCAGUUGUUUCUGCCUCAUCUGAGGGGCAAAUGUGGCAGGGUCCUGAUGGACAACUCCCAGUUUCAUAAACUGCUGGCAUGCAGCUGUGAGCGAUUCACCCAUAUCUGCAGAUUAGGCAAGAUAAUGGCAACUCUGCAGCAACAGAAUAGGGACUCUGGAAGAUGUUCCUUCUAUUCUUGCAGUCUGUGACAGAGCGUGCUGGGCCUGCAAGAGUUAACCUGAGUUACCUAGCCAAGAGAGCCCGCCUCCACAGCCCUACUGGGCAUGCUCCAGCUGGAGGACAGCUAUAAAAGCUGGUGGAGCAGCCUCAGUGGAGGCUGACUACUGCUGAGAAAGGAGGUGCUACUGCUGGAGGAAGAGUGAUGGCUGGAUUGAACUGUGUGGGAAUAGCUGGAGGCUAGUGGAAAAGAAGGUGAGUGCUGUGAGUCUGAUAGGAAAUAGCUCAGGGUGAGGAGUUGAGAGAGCUUGAUGUGUUUUGGGCAGAUUCCCUGCUGAGCUAGUGGUGGGCCAUCUCACCAAUUAUGGGGCUCUGAGCUGGAACCUAGUGGUGGAGGUAGGCCUGGGUCCUCCUACCAUAUUUGCCCCCAAAGGGGAUGCUUCAACUGUAAUGAUUUGGGCUGUUAAGCUGUGUUGCCAUGUGAAGGGCUGUUAAGACUCUGGGUGCUAGGCCUCCCUGCCCUGAGGGGAGGGAGUCUUGAAACUAACUGCAGCUGCUAGUCUGGACUGCCUCACUGGAGCUAGGGUAUAAUUAGGGGCCUGAGCUAUAGGGACUGAGACUCACAGGGUGAAUCAUGUGUGUGUGUGGGGGGGGUCCUUACAGGCCUCAUGCAAUCUCCCUGAGGGUGCUGGGUGUACUUACCCCAUGACACAGUUAAAGGCCCACGGACACAGCCUGGGGUGAAUGCCUGGCUGCAAAGAUGUUGUCGCCAGGAGGGCUUGGCUUUCUUGGCCACAGGACACUAUUCCAGCUAAGGCAAAAUGGGGCUCCAACUUGCAAAGGGGAAGAGGGUAGUUGGAUAUAAAAUCAUAGAAUACUAGGACUGGAAGGGACCUUGAGAGGGCCUAGUCUCAUCCCCUGCCCCCAUGGCAGGACCAAAUAUUGACUAGACCAUCCCUACUCUAA